rnacentral:tRNA from 1 species
GACCCCAUCGUCUAGAGGCCUAGGACACUGGGUUUUCAUCCCGGCAACAGGGGUUCGAUUCCCCUUGGGGUCGCCA